UACGGAGGAUCCAAGCGUUAUCCGGAUUUAUUGGGCUUAAAGGGCUCGUAGGCGGCCAACUAAGUCAUACGUGAAAUCCCUCAGCUUAACUGGGGAACUGCGUGUGAUACUGGAUGGCUUGGAUUUGGGAGAGGGAUGCGGAAUUCCAGGUGUAGCGGUGAAGUGCGUAGAUAUCUGGAGGAACACCGGUGGCGAAGGCUGCAUCCUGGACCAAUAUUGACGCUGAGGAGCGAAAGCCAGGGGAGCAAACGGG
rnacentral:rRNA from 1 species